AUUGAACGCUGGCGGCAUGCCUUACACAUGCAAGUCGAACGGCAGCACGGGAGCAAUCCUGGUGGCGAGUGGCGAACGGGUGAGUAAUACAUCGGAACGUGUCCAGUAGUGGGGGAUAGCCCGGCGAAAGCCGGAUUAAUACCGCAUACGACCUACGGGUGAAAGCGGGGGAUCGCAAGACCUCGCGCUAUCGGAGCGGCCGAUGUCAGAUUAGCUAGUUGGUGGGGAAAGGCCUACCAAGGCGACGAUCUGUAGCUGGUCUGAGAGGACGACCAGCCACACUGGGACUGAGACACGGCCCAGACUCCUACGGGAGGCAGCAGUGGGGAAUUUUGGACAAUGGGCGCAAGCCUGAUCCAGCCAUGCCGCGUGCGGGAAGAAGGCCU
rnacentral:rRNA from 1 species